UACGGAGGAUCCGAGCGUUAUCCGGAUUUAUUGGGUUUAAAGGGUGCGCAGGCGGGAUGUUAAGUCGGCGGUGAAAUUUUGCGGCUCAACCGUAAAAGUGCCUUCGAAACUGGCAUCCUUGAGUAUGGAUGAAGUAGGCGGAAUUCGUGGUGUAGCGGUGAAAUGCAUAGAUAUCACGAAGAACCCCGAUUGCGCAGGCAGCUUACUAAACCAUAACUGACGCUCAUGCACGAAGGCGUGGGGAUCAAAC
rnacentral:rRNA from 1 species